CGGUAUCCUGCUUGCAUUGUUGGCAUAUGCUACAUGUGCAGGUAAUCAUCAAUCAAAUAGCCAUCAAGCAAUGUGUGGCUGGAUCAUAGCCUUGCAUUGGACAUGCUGCUAGUACCUGAUGCUCUGGACUCUCAAGUCUCAGGGACGACAGAGAAGAAAGAAACAGACGUGGAGUGGACGAGGGCCAGCCAGCCGGCAACGGAUAGAUAAGCUUAUCACCUACUUGGGAGGCCGCUGAGUGGUGACACCUGGAAAGCUCCGGAUUCACCCUGGCUGCUCCUGUCCGACGUGGACGCUGACAUGGCAUGCAAUUCAGGUGAUAUACGCUGAAUUUCCUUUUGGCACGU
rnacentral:lncRNA from 1 species